rnacentral:sRNA from 1 species
GCAGACGUCACAAUGCUGCCCACAAAAUCUCGUGCCGAUCGGAAAACAGACGAGACCACGAUCUCAGUUUCAAUCUCUGCUGGUCCCAAUUCGCGUCUGAGAAAACGUGUCUCACGAAACUGCCAAUAACUCAACCAAUUUUAAUCCAAAUCCAAUUCUGUAAAUUAGAGAAUAACGAUAACGGAUUUGGGAAUAACUCUACCAAAUUUCUUUACCUUUUACCACGAUUUGAUAUGACGAAACUGAUUUCUCCCAAACCCUAACGAUUCUGCUCCUUCUCCUUUUCUCUCUUUUUCUCCUUUAUAAACUGAAAAGUGGCUAACCAAAGCCCUAAUUUCGAGUUUCCUUCUUUUAUAGGCAUACUCUAGAGUUUCCAAUUAACCCAACCAAUUAAACCGGAUGAUUUAAAAACAAACUCUAACUGAUUUUCCGGUUCACGGGCGUUACAAUUCUCCCCCACUAACAUAGAUUCGUCCUCGAAUCUAGCUUCACCCUUCCACUCCGAGGAACUCCGUGCAACCAUCACUACAGUCCGCACUCCCUCCAACCAGACCCCUUCUAGGUCUCUCUAUCCAGUCGAUAUACUCACGAUUUACUAGUCAUUGUUGCUCACAACUCACUCUCCACUCUCAGACCGCAAUCUUCGAGCAUAAACCGUCACUCUCAGGCCUCGGCCUACGGUAUCUCGGGUAUCGCACAUAUUAUCUUCCCCACUCAAAGUCAAACCCUGAGUUGUGUAGGCUCCCUCUCAGCCACAAAGUCAUCGAGUUACGACACUUGGAGAAAAUAAUACCACAAAACUCGCUCUCGGGUCGUCACCCUAAAGCGUGCUCUCGGAUCGUCACCCGAAGCCACCGUACCCCUCGUACUUUAAAGACACCAUGUCCCUCAAGUUACCGGUACCUCAGGAGCAUACCCCGCUCCUCACGAGUCGUUGGGACCUUCAUAUCCCUCGAGCAACAAUACUAAACGCUUUCGAGCAUAUCUCCAGACUCUCUCAUGGAUUCGCGUAAGACACCUCUAUGCCUCACCAUCCAUCAUAUCCCCUCGAGAAUAUCCUUAUGACCAACUCCCGGCCAUCUCGUAAACACACGUUUCUCUUAGGUUGUUUACUCAAACUUUCCAAAAAUAGACAAGUCCUUUCUAGGAAACUUUCCAUUUUUGGAAACCGCACAACACAUUCUUAAAUAAGACAACUCAAGUCAAAUCCAAGAAAAAAAAUACUCAUCUUAUUAAUCAUCAACUGUUAUGAUCGUUACAACUCCAACGAAAAUACAAAUGAAAGAGAAAUAAGAACAACAACUCAAAAGCUCAAAAACUCAACAACACUGAAACUGGAAACCAAGGAAAGGCAAACUCAUGCAGUAACCUGCUUCUCGAACCACUUCUUGAACCUUGCCUUCAUCCUCGCCUCUGGCUCCCAAGUCUCCUCUGUCACACCAUCGCAGUCCCACAGGACUUUGAUCAAAGGAAUCUUCUUCCGCCGAAGUUCCUUGAUCCUCCUCUCGAGAACCCUCACUGGUCUCGCCUCCAAAGUCAUGUUGGGCUGAAGAUCCUCUGGAAUCUUAGCCAACACCUCAUCAUCCUUGUGAAGACACUUCCUCAGCAUCGACACAUGAAAGACCUUGUGAAACGCACGCAUAACAUCAGACAACUCUAACCUGUAUACCUCAGACUCAACUUAGUCUCUGAGAUAGACCUGUUCGGACCUCGCAACAUGGCCAUCUUAAGAUACACCCUGUCCCCAACCUCAAACUCAAGCUCUCUCCUCCUCUUGUCAGCAUAACUCCGUUGUCGAUCCUGAGCUUCCUUCAUGUUCAGCUUAAGAACCCGGAUCCUCUCCGUGUUCUCCUGAACAUAAUCUGCACCAUAUAUGCUCCUCUCCCCCACUUGGGUCCAGCAUAACGGUGUCCUACCUGGCCUACCGUACAACGCCUCAAAAGGAGCCAUCCCAAUACUCGCCUGAUAGCUAUUGUUAUAAGCAAACUCUACCAGACUCAAGUGAUCCGCCCAAUGACCUCCCCAAUCCAAGACACACAUCCGCAACAUAUCCUCAAGCGUCUGAAUAGUCCUCUCAGAUUGCCCAUCUGUCUGUGGAUGAUAAGUCGUGCUCAUCUGCACCUUAGUACCCAUCUCUGCCUGAAAGGCUCUCCAAAAUGCAGAAGUAAACUUGGAAUCCCUGUCUGACACAAUACUCACAGGUACUCCAUGCAACUUCACGAUCUCGCUCACAUAUUUCUUAGCCAACACCGCCGCUCCAUCGGUUUUUCUGAUGGCCAGAAAAUGUGCUGACUUAGUCAGACGGUCCACGAUCACCCAAAUAGCAUCUUUGAUUCGCGACACAGGCAACCCAACCACAAAAUCCAUCGUGAUAAAAUCCCACUUCCACUCAGGAAUGGGUAAACUCUGCAACAUGCCACCUGGCACCUGAUGCUCAGCCUUAACUAACUGGCAAACAUCGCACUCUGCAACCCAAUUAGCUACAUCCCUCUUCAUCCCGACCCACUGAUAGUACCGCUUGAGGUCUCGGUACAUCUUAGUCGCUCCUGGAUGAAUGGAAAACAUGCUCGCAUGAGCCUCACUCAAGAUCUCCCGUCGCAACUCCUCAUCCUUAGGCACACAAACUCGCCCAUGCACAAGGAUAGUCCCAUUAGCUGCAAACUGAUACUCAGAGACCUCUGCCUUAGAAGCCGCAAUCAACCCCUCAUCCUUCUCCUGAGCCAACCGAACUCUAGUCAGAAGAUCUGCUCGAUCCGCAGCUUCCAAUCCCAAUGGCUCUCGUGCCACAGCACACAACCGCAAAGCACCAAUCUCACUCACCAAGGCCUCAACACUCUGCCCUGGACCCGCACCCACGCGCUUACGGCUCAACGCGUCUGCAACCACAUUAGCCUUACUGGGAUGGUAAGCUAUCUCCAGAUCAUAAUCAGCCACCAAUUCCAUCCAUCGCCUCUGCCUCAGGUUCAGCUCUGGCUGAGUGAAGAUAUACUUCAAACUCUUAUGAUCCGUGAACACCUGCACUUUCCCGCCAUAAAGAUAAGGCCUCCGAAUUUUCAAGGCAAAGAUUACUGCAGCCAUCUCCAAAUCGUGAGUAGGAUAGUUGCCCUCAUGCUUUCUCAACUGCCGUGAUGCAUAAGCAAUAACCUUUCCACGCUGCAUCAGAACACAACUCAACCAACUCUCGAGGCAUCAGUAUACACCAUGUAAGGCUCUCCAUGCUCUGGCAAUGCUAACACUGGUGUACUCGUCAACAUCUCUUUCAGGCUCACGAAACCCUCCUCGCACUCCGGUGACCACACAAAAGGAACAUCCUUCCGUGUCAGCUUAGUCAUCGGCUGUGCCAUACUCGCAAACCCCUUGACGAACCUCCUGUAAUACCCUGCCAACCCAAGAAAACUCCUGAUCUCAGUGGCAUUCGUCGGUCUAGGCCAAUCUCUGAUAGCCUCAAUCUUCUCUGGAUCCACUGAAACUCCCUCUGCAGAAACAAUGUGACCCAGAAAACCUAUCUUUCUCUGCCAGAAACUAUACUUACUCAACUUAGAGAACAAUUUCUGCUCCCGCAACUUCUCCAUCACUCUCCUCAGAUGUACCUCAUGCUCCUCAGGACUCUUAGAAUACACCAGAAUGUCAUCAAUAAAGAUGAUCACAAACUCAUCCAAAAACUCCUGGAACACGUUGUUCAUCAACCUCAUGAACGCUGCAGGUGCAUUAGUCAACCUGAAAGGCAUCACCACGAACUCAAAAUGUCCAUAUCUCGUCCUGAAAGCAGUCUUGCGAACAUCUGCCUCCGCUAUCGGGAUCUGGUGAUAACCUGACGUCAAAUCGAUUUUGGAGAAACAAGUAGCACCCCUCAACUGAUCCAACAACUCAUUGAUCCUUGGCAAAGGGUACUUGUUCUUCACAGUGACCCGGUUCAACUCCCGGUUGUCAAUACAUAAGCAGAAACUCCCGUCCUUCUUCUUCACAAAUAACACCGGCGCUCCCCAAAGUGAAGUACUAGGACGAAUGAAUCCCUUACCCAACAAAUCCUCUAGGUACUUCUUUAGCUCUGCCAUCUCUGCUGGAGCCAUCCUGUAGGGUGCCUUAGACAACGGCGCUGUCCCUGGUUCCAACUCAAUCGUGAAAGGAUCAGACCGUGAUGGUGGUAAUCCCUGCAACGAUUGAAACACAUCCUCGAAGUCCUGAAUAACCCGAAUGUCGCUCACUGCUACCUGCCCCACAGACUCCGGCAUAGAUAUCGUCACCAGGUAAGCCUCGCAUCCCUUCUCGAUCAUUUUCUCUGCCUGCACUGCUGAGAUGACGAGACUCCCUGAGGUAGGUCUCACUCCCUGAUAAACCAACCUUCCCUCUGGCCGCUCAAAAGAAACUCUCCCACGGUGGCAAUGAAGAUGUACUCUGUAAUGAUCCAACCAAUCCAUUCCCAGAAUAACAUCAUACAACUCUACAGGGCUGAUAAUCAAAUCUGCUGGCAUUGACUCCCCUACAAUCUGAAUAUCCACACCCUUCGCUCUCCCCAGAACCGCUAGAAACUGCCCUCCAGCAACCUUGACGGCUCCAAGCUGCUCACCAGGAUCCCCACGGAUGUUGCCGCGCGAGGCACUCUCCGGGGUAAUGAAAAAAUACGAUGCUCCAGAGUCAAACAACACAUGGGCCUCUACACCGCCCACUAAUAAGGUCCCUACACAAACCUCAUGUGCUAAGAACCCUAACAUUCAUCACAAAAUAAUGAUAUCCAAAACAACAGAAAUAUUUCACAAAGUCUGAGUCUCAGAAAUCAUACCAGUAAUCGCUCUGUUGCUAGUACCGCCUAUCUCACGCAUAGUGUAACCCUGCGGUGCCGCUGCAAUAUGUGCCAACUGCUGCACUCCCUGCUGCACCUGCGCUCCGUGCUGCACCGCCGGCUGUACCACUGCCACUGCCAUCCGCUGCACCUUAGGACAAUUCGGCAUGAGAUGUCCCCUCUCCCUGCAGUGGUAGCACUCCCUCGUCUCAGCUCGCUGCGUGCAAUCCACCACCUUGUGGUCAAGGCUCCCACAAGAAAAACAUCCUGCACGACCACCCUGUCCAGCUCUGGAAGGAUGAUCCCACUUCCUCUUCUGCCCCUGCGCAGGCUUGCUGCCCUUGCUAGGUGCCACCUGCUGCUGAGUCUUCUUCGGUUGUACCGCUGGACUCACUCCCCCCUCCUACCUCUGAAGGUCCUCCUUCACCCUGUAUCAGCUCAAGAAAAUGCGCCUCCAUACGGUCGAGCGCCUCCUGCGGAAAGUACUUGGCAUUAAACUAAGCCACGAAAUCUGCCCAAGACAUAUCCGCCUGCCUCCUCCUGGCAGUCACACUCCGCCACCACAAAUGUGCAUCCCCCUCUAGAAAAUGCACUGCUAGAUCUACCCGAUACUCCGCCGAGCAUCUGCUUGAACCGAAGUUCCGCUCAACCCGCGACCUCCAAUUGUCGGCCUCCUCAGGACUAGUACCACCAGAAAAAUAACCGGUGCCAAUCCUCUGCAACUGCUCCAUCAUCCCCAAAUAAGAUGGAACCUUCUCAGCAACCGCAGCCCGCUGCUGCACCUCCGCCGCUCGUGGCGCAACUGGAGCCUCCACUGGUACCAAACCUGGUAACCGCUCCAACAACUGCCUCACAAGGCCCGCCAAACCAACCUUUGGAACCUGGGCUCCUCCGGCUGCGGCACACAUCACUCCUGGGCCCUCAGCACCAACGGCAUGCACACCGGUACCGACACCACCAGCCCCCACUCCGGUUGCACCAGCUAUAUCGGCACCAAGACCGUUCCUAACCCCGGGCUCCACAAACUCAGGUUGCGAACCCACUCUGCUCAACUGUGGCACUGUGGCCAUCACUCUCGCCGGUACCCUCGAGGACUCGUCCCCUACCGCGACCACGACCGCGACCACGACCACGAACUCCAGCUCCUCUAACCAUCUGCGCUACUCAAAAACAAAUGGCUAAGAAACUAAAACAAACGAAUAUAUCACAAACAACUUACCGUGGAAUCUCAUUUAAGGCUUGGAGAAGAUGAUGCUAGAACUCCAACAACACACAAUUGACUAAACACUCCAUAAUCAAUCCUCAAUAUGCUAACACCCUAGCUCAUCCCACAUCAAUCAACAGGAAAAUAAUUCAUCAAUUAAUUUUUCUACACAUCUUAGAACCGUAAUCGCUCUGAUACCAAAUUGAAACAACCCGACCCAUUUUUUUUAAAAAAAAUAAU